rnacentral:rRNA from 1 species
CCUACGGGAGGCAGCAGUGAGGAAUAUUGGUCAAUGGGCGAGAGCCUGAACCAGCCAAGUCGCGUGAGGGAGUACUGCCCUAUGGGUUGUAAAUCUCUUUUGUCGGGGAGCAAAAGCCGGACGUGUCCGGCUGUGAGAGUACCCGAAGAAAAAGCAUCGGCUCACUCCGUGCCAGCAGCCGCGGUAAUACGGGGGAUGCGAGCGUUAUCCGGAUUUAUUGGGGUUAAAGGGUGCGCAGGCGGAUUUUUAAGUCAGCGGUCAAAUCGUGGGGCUCAACCCCAUCCAGCCGUUGAAACUGGGGAUCUAGAGUGUGCGAGAGGUAUGCGGAAUGCGUGGUGUAGCGGUGAAAUGCAUAGAUAUCACGCAGAACCCCGAUUGCGAAGGCAGCAUACCGGUGAACAACUGACGCUCAGGCACGAAAGCGUGGGUAUCGAACAGGAUUAGAUACCCCAGUAGUC